rnacentral:rRNA from 1 species
UAUUGGUCAAUAGCCUAACGGCUGAACCAGCAACUUGGAGGAAUGUAUAGGGAAAGCUAGUAAAAUGCGAUGUACCUAAUAGUAUUAGAAAUAAAUAUGAGAUUAACAAAGUUAAAUAAAAUUCUAAGUAGAUAUAUGAUUAUGACAUUAUCUAUAUAUGUCUUGACCAAGUCACGUGCCAGCAGUCGCGGUAAUACGUGGAAGAUUAGUGUUAUUCAUCUUUAACAGGUUUAAAGGGUACCUAGACGGUUAAUUAAGAAAACUAAUGUACUAAUUAACUAGAGUUUAAUGUAAGAAGGAUUGAGUACGGUGAGUGGAGAGAUAAAAUUCUGUGAUACAACUUAGGAACUGAUAAAGGCGAA